rnacentral:rRNA from 1 species
ACGGUCCUAAGGUAGCGAAAUUCCUUGUCGGGUAAGUUCCGACCUGCACGAAUGGCAUAAUGAUGGCCACACUGUCUCCUCCUGAGACUCAGUGAAGUUGAAAUGUUUGUGAUGAUGCAAUCUCCCCGCGGCUAGACGGAAAGACCCCAUGAACCUUUACUGCAGCUUUGCAUUGGACUUUGAACCGAUCUGUGUAGGAUAGGUGGGAGGCAGUGAAGCUAGGACGCCAGUCUUAGCGGAGCCAACCUUGAAAUACCACCCUGAUUUGUUUGAGGUUCUAACCUAGGAGCGUGAUCCGCUUCGGGGACCGUGCAUGGUAGGCAGUUUGACUGGGGCGGUCUCCUCCUAAAGGGUAACGGAGGAGUGCGAAGGUACGCUAGGUACGGUCGGAAAUCGUGCUGAUAGUGCAAUGGCAAAAGCGUGCUUGACUGCGAGACCGACAAGUCGAGCAGAUACGAAAGUAGGUCAUAGUGAUCCGGUGGCUCUGCAUGGAAGGGCCAUCGCUCAACGGAUAAAAGGUACUCUGGGGAUAACAGGCUGAUACCGCCCAAGAGUUCAUAUCGACGGCGGUGUUUGGCACCUCGAUGUCGGCUCAUCUCAUCCUGGGGCUGUAGCCGGUCCCAAGGGUAUGGCUGUUCGCCAUUUAAAGAGGUACGUGAGCUGGGUUUAAAACGUCGUGAGACAGUUUUGUCCCUAUCUGCCGUGGGCGUUGGAAGAUUGACGGGGGCUGCUCCUAGUACGAGAGGACCGGAGUGGACUCACCUCUGGUGUACCGGUUGUCACGCCAGUGGCAUCGCCGGGUAGCUAUGUGGGGAAAGGAUAACCGCUGAAAGCAUCUAAGCGGGAAACCUGCCUGAAGAUAAGUCUUCCUGGAGGCUUUGACCUCCCUGAAGAGUCGUUCGAGACCAGGACGUUGAUAGGUUGGAUGUGCAAGCGCUGUGAGGCGUUGAGCUGACCAAUACUAAUUGCUCGUGAAGCUUGAUCCU